UAAAAGGGAGUGUAAUGGAAGAUUGAAUAGGAUGAGCACUUGACAAGAGUGAUCUCAGGUCAUUUUAAACUUAAUACAUAUAAUACCUGAAGAACGUAACCCACUUCAAGCUGAUAUUCAGGCACUGCCAGGCGCCAGCCUUAUUUGGUUUAGUGCAGGCCUCUUCCUGGAGUCAUCACCUUUUGCCAAGCUAACCUUAUCAUCAGGACCAUACAUUGUACAGCAGUAAGCAUGCCAAAUAGGAAUAGCAAAACAUUGGCAUAGCAAAGGACUGAUGUCCCUGUCGGACAAACAUUGCCACUUGAUUUUUUUUUUCCUCUCUUCAAACUUUUUCUUUUUCUUCCCUCACUUUCUCUCUUUCCAUUCUUUUCUUUUUAACUUUUGUGUUCUACACACUUCCAUUUGAGUUCAAAUCAUGAAAAUUUUUCUUGUUGGGCUCAGCAAUCAUUAAGCAGCUAUAUAGAUUCAACAAGCACGGACUAUAACUCCGUAGAAAUUGGUAACUAUUUUACAAGCAUGAAAUUUUUUCUUUUCUUUUUUCGUUUCCUCUGUACAAUUCAAACAGAUCACAAAGCAUAAACUAUGUAGAGUAAACAUGAGUACACAUGCAUAUAUAUAUGGAUUCUCAGCUAGCUAGCUUUUAACCUUUGGUUCUGAUAAUGGUGAUCGUGCCUCUUCCUUGAGUGUGGAUUCUCGUAAGUGCCACCACAGCUUUCCCCGAAAGGCCUAUUCCGUCAGCCGACACACAUGGCCUACAAGCAAAGUCACCCACCGGAUGCCUUACCGGUCUUGUUGGUGGCAUUAAGAUCCUCUCAUUGAUAUCGCUUAUGGUCAUGUCACCUUCAACCCCGCCAGGCUUCACCAUUGCAAAUGGAUACAACACUCGUGUUAUCACCCUCUUUUUUCUCUUAUCCUCAACUGAAAAUGAAAACACCCACUCAUUGUUAACUACUAAAAUAUAAUGUAAUCAAACUUUAUGAACUAAUUAGCGAUAAUUAUGGGAGCAGGUAUACCAGGAAGUUGAUGCAGGCUGUCCUUGUCAAAUAUGGACUUCAUUUUAGCUGAGUCUUUGUAGGAAGAAGAUGAAGAAUCGAGAGUUUCAGGAGCUGCUGAUAUUUCCUCUUCUGGGGUUUUCACCUCUGCAAUAACAUUUGCUUCCUCUUCGCUCAUAUUGCUCAUGGGCGUACUUAUGGGUUCAUCUACAUUUGAAAUCCAUAUGAUUCAUCAAAACACACACAGAGAGAAGAGCAUCCAUGUAUUAAGAAGAGAGGAAAAAAACAUUGAAUUAUCGAAUAAAAGCAGGAAAUAGGUUAUGCUGUUUAUUAAUUCAGUUUGGGAAAUUUUAAAUAUCAUCUAGAAAAUCACCUGAAACUCCAUGAAUACUACUGGUAAUGUGACUCAUGCAACUAAAAUUCUCAGACAUUUCCCACUCACAGUUUUCAUUCCAGUAGCUCUGUACAACAUCAGAACCAAUCAUUCACUAGAAAAAAAAAAUUAAAACCCUUAAUUAUUUAGAAUUCAGAACUUCUGAACUACGUACCUUUGCAAGAUGAUGGUCAUCUGAUAUUUUGGUUUGAUCAUCAGGGUACAACAGCAAGCGUCGCCGUUUAGAACGUUCGCUAAAUUCUAGCAAAGCAUCUUCUAAAUACCCAGUAGAGAAAUCAGACUCCAGAGACGAGAAAAAAGGUGAAGCUCCAUCCAUAACUGCAAAUAAAUUCACACCAAUAAGGUUUUCGAAAUUUAUCCACCAAGGAACAAGAACACUUAACAGACAAGAACAGUGUAAAGACGAUGUAAAGGAGGAAAAAAGAAGAUCAAAGCAACCUAAAGACAUGGUGUCUGCGUUGAGAAGUCCAAGGUUUUGAAGAUCCCAGCAACCACCUAGGGAAGAAGACCCAUGAAGGUAGGUAGAAGAAGAAUAAGCCAUGGAGUAGUGAUCAAGAAGCUCAGAGAUUAAAAUCUUGAUGACCCAUAUAUUAAAAUGUUGGGGGCAAUUGCCGUAUAUGGAGUAGUUGUGGAAAAAAUGGUCGAGAAAUAUAUGAUUUUUAGAAGAAGGAGAAGAAGUAGCCAGUCAACGGCAAGUAAAGAAAAAACAAUAAAUAAAAUAAAAAACAAUAAUUAAAGGGUGUCUGUGUCUUGGGAUAUGGAAAAAUGGGGUCACAGGAAACCUUUAAUAUUUUUUCAUAGGUUUGUAUAUGGAAGGGUUAUGAUGUGGGGGGCCAAAUCAUUGCAAAGGUUAUGAUUCCCUGCUGUUGUUGUUUGGUGCAUGCAAAGGAAAAAUAAAAUUAAAAAAAAAUGGAAUUUGGUGAAGAAGAAAGAAAAAAAAGAAAGAAAGAAAACAAAAGAAGAGGGAGAGGAAAAAGAAUGGUUAGUAGAAGAAAAAUAGCUAAGGUUUUAUAUGCACUUUUCAUAAUAAAAAAUGAAAUAAAAUAUUAAAUUUUGAAGCUAUAGGUCUAACAACAUUCUAGAAAAAGAAUCAACCGAAUUAGUAGAUUCAUAUCAAUUCAUCUGAUUCACUAUUGAAUUGAAAGAUUUGGUUUAGGUACAUUUGAGAUUUACCCUAUAGAUUCAAAUCGUUAGGACAGAAAAUCGAAUCGAAUUACAAGAUUUGAAUCGAGAAUGUAAGGUGCACCAUGCGCAAAGGGUAGCACCUUAGAGCAGCAAAGGCGCAUGACCUUGCAGAGGCGCACCUAGGGGCCGCUAGGCGCGCCCCAAAGAGGUCAGCCCCUUGCAGAGAACGAUGGGAGAAAGAAUAAGAAGUUAUGUACAUGGAUUGGCCCUGCUGCUCUCAACGAAGUGUUGGUCUUUUAUUAAUUGGAACUAUAAUGCGUACCAAGGCUUAUGAUGGUAAUGAGCUGAUGGUGGUAAUGGAUUGAUCGUUAUUGGGCUAAACUUAAUCUAGAGCUAAUUUAUUUUAUUAAUGUUUUUCUGCAUGUGGU
rnacentral:misc_RNA from 1 species